AACGCACAUUGCGCCCAUUGGUAUUCCGAUGGGCACGUCUGUUUGAGCGUCAUUACAAUCCUUCGGCAGGAAUUUUUACGAAUUCUCGACCGGUUGUGAGCUCCGACCUUAACCGGCCGGGCUUUAAAGUGGCACGCUCUGCGGGUGACCUAACCUGAACGAACAUAGUAGAAUCCAUUCAACCUGUUCAAUUAAGGGAUUGUCAACUCCGCCUGAACAAUAACCUAAAUUUUCUAAGGUUUGACCUCAGAUCAGACGAGGAUACCCGCUGAACUUAA
rnacentral:misc_RNA from 1 species